GAGGUCGAGUGAUAGGUCGAGUA
rnacentral:siRNA from 1 species